UACGGGGGGAGCAAGCGUUGUUCGGAUUUACUGGGCGUAAAGGGCGCGUAGGCGGCCAGCGCAAGUCAGUUGUGAAAUCUCCGGGCUUAACUCGGAACGGUCAACUGAUACUGCGUGGCUAGAGGUAGGUAGGGGAGAUCGGAAUUCCUGGUGUAGCGGUGAAAUGCGCAGAUAUCAGGAGGAACACCGGUGGCGAAGGCGGAUCUCUGGGCCUUACCUGACGCUCAGGCACGAAAGCUAGGGGAGCGAACAGG
rnacentral:rRNA from 1 species